UACGUAGGGGUGCGAGCGUUGUCCGGAAUUAUUGGGGCGUAAAGAGCUUGUAGGUGGCUCGUUGCGUCGGGAGUGAAAACCUGCGGCUUAACCGCAGGCCUGCUUCCGAUACGGGCGAGCUAGAGUUCGGGCAGGGGGAGACUGGAAUUCCUGGUGUAGCGGUGGAAUGCGCAGAUAUCAGGAGGAACACCGGUGGCGAAGGCGGGGUCUCUGGGCCGAUACUGACACUGAGAAGCGAAAAGCGUGGGGGAGCGAAACAGG
rnacentral:rRNA from 1 species